UAGGGAAUAUUGCACAAUGGGCGAAAGCCUGAUGCAGCAACGCCGCGUGCACGAUGAAGGCCUUCGGGUUGUAAAGUGCUUUUAUGAGGGAAGAGAAAGGACUGUACCUCAUGAAUAAGGAUCGGCUAACUACGUGCCAGCAGCCGCGGUAACACGUAGGAUCCGAGCGUUAUCCGGAUUUACUGGGCGUAAAGCGCGUGCAGGUGGUCUGUUAAGUUGGAUGUUAAAUCUCACGGCUUAACCGGGAGAUGUCGUUCAAAACUGGCAGACUAGAGGACGGUAGAGGAAGGUGGAAUUCCGGGUGUAGUGGUGAAAUGCGUAGAUAUCCGGAGGAACAUCAGUGGCGAAGGCGACCUUCUGGACCGCUCCUGACACUCCAACGCGAAAGCUAGGGGAGCAAACGG
rnacentral:rRNA from 1 species